rnacentral:rRNA from 1 species
AGAGUUUGAUCCUGGCUCAGGACGAACGCUGGCGGCGUGCUUAACACAUGCAAGUCGAACGGGCAUCUUCGGGUGCUAGUGGCGAACGGGUGAGUAACACGUGAGCAACCUGCCCUUGGCUCUGGGAUAGCCUCCGGAAACGGGGAUUAAUACCGGACAUGACCUUCUCCUGCAUGGGGGAGGGUGGAAAGUUUUUCGGCCAGGGAGGGGCUCGCGGCCUAUCAGCUUGUUGGGGGGGUAACGGCCCACCAAGGCGACGACGGGUAGCCGGCCUGAGAGGGCGACCGGCCACACUGGGACUGAGACACGGCCCAGACUCCUACGGGAGGCAGCAGUGGGGAAUAUUGCGCAAUGGGCGGAAGCCUGACGCAGCGACGCCGCGUGCGGGAUGAAGGCCUUCGGGUUGUAAACCGCUUUCAGCAGGGACGAAGCGUGAGUGACGGUACCUGCAGAAGAAGCGC